GCAGACGGGUGAGUAACACGUGAGAUAUCUUCCCUCGAUUUGGGGAUAACCUGCCGAAAGGCGGACUAAUACCCAAUUAGGUUUUCCGGUUGCGACCGGACAAUCAAAGGCUCUGUAGCAAUACAGUGUUGAUUGAGGAUGAGCUCGCGGCCUAUCAGCUAGUUGGUGAGGUAACGGCUCACCAAAGCUAUGACGGGUAGCCGGCCUGAAAGGGCGACCGGCCACAAUGGCACUGAGACACGGGCCAUACUCCUACGGGAGGCAGCAGUGGGGAAUUUUGGACAAUGGGGGAAACCCUGAUCCAGCGACGCCGCGUGGAGGACUGAAGGUCUUCGGAUUGUAAACUCCUUUUAUAUGGGACGAAACUCUAUUACGUAACACUAGUAGACUGACUGUACCAUAUGAAUAAGUCACGGCUAACUACGUGCCAGCAGCCGCGGUAAUACGUAGGUGGCUAGCGUUACUCGGAAUUAUUAGGCGUAAAGCGCAUGUAGGCGGUCGAAUAAGUCGGUCGUUAAAACCAUUGGCUCAACCAAUGGAGGCCGGUCGAAACUAUUCGACUUGAGUGUGAGAGAGGAAACUGGAAUUCCCGGUGUAGCGGUGAAAUGCGUAGAUAUCGGGAGGAAUACCAAUGGCGAUGGCAGGUUUCUGGCUCAAUACUGACGCUCAGAUGCGAAAGCUAGGGGAGCAAACAGGAUUAGAUACCCUGGUAGUCCUAGCUGUAAACGAUGUUCACUUGGUGUGGGAGGUAUCGACCCCUUCCGCGCCGAAGCUAACGCAUUAAGUGAACCGCCUGGGGAGUACGGCCGCAAGGUUGAAACUCAAAGGAAUUGACGGGGGCCCGCACAAGCGGUGGAGCAUGU
rnacentral:rRNA from 1 species